rnacentral:rRNA from 1 species
GACAGAGGUGCCAAGCGUUAGGCGGAAUCACUGGGCUUAAAGCGUGUGUAGGUGGAUUUGUAAGUACCUUGUGAAAUCCCAUGGCUCAACCAUGGAACUGCUCGGUAUACUGCGAAUCUUGAGCCACUUAGGGGCUACCGGAACAAAUGGUGGAGCGGUGAAAUGCGUAGAUAUCAUCAGGAACACCGGAGGCGAAGGCGGCUCACUGGGGCUUUUCUGACGCUGAGGAACGAAAGCCAGGGGAGCGAACGGG